UUAACCGCAUAGGGGAGCCGGAGGGAAACCGAGUCUUAAUUGGGCGUUAAGUUGCAGGGUAUAGACCCGAAACCCGGUGAUCUAGCCAUGGGCAGGUUGAAGGUUGGGUAACACUAACUGGAGGACCGAACCGACUAAUGUUGAAAAAUUAGCGGAUGACCUGUGGCUGGGGGUGAAAGGCCAAUCAAACCGGGAGAUAGCUGGUUCUCCCCGAAAGCUAUUUAGGUAGCGCCUCGUGAAUUCAUCUCCGGGGGUAGAGCACUGUUUCGGCUAGGGGGCCAUCCCGGCUUACCAACCCGAUGCAAACUGCGAAUACCGGAGAAUGUUAUCACGGGAGACACACGGCGGGUGCUAACGUCCGUCGUGAAGAGGGAAACAACCCAGACCGCCAGCUAAGGUCCCAAAGUCAUGGUUAAGUGGGAAACGAUGUGGGAAGGCCCAGACAGCCAGGAUGUUGGCUUAGAAGCAGCCAUCAUUUAAAGAAAGCGUAAUAGCUCACUGGUCGAGUCGGCCUGCGCGGAAGAUGUAACGGGGCUAAACCAUGCACCGAAGCUGCGGCAGCGACGCUGAUGCGUUGUUGGGUAGGGGAGCGUUCUGUAAGCCUGUGAAGGUGGCCUGUGAGGGUUGCUGGAGGUAUCAGAAGUGCGAAUGCUGACAUAAGUAACGAUAAAGCGGGUGAAAAGCCCGCUCGCCGGAAGACCAAGGGUUCCUGUCCAACGUUAAUCGGGGCAGGGUGAGUCGACCCCUAAGGCGAGGCCGAAAGGCGUAGUCGAUGGGAAACGGGUUAAUAUUCCCGUACUUGGUGUUACUGCGAAGGGGGGACGGAGAAGGCUAUGUUGGCCGGGCGACGGUUGUCCCGGUUUAAGCGUGUAGGCUGGUUUUCCAGGCAAAUCCGGAAAAUCAAGGCUGAGGCGUGAUGACGAGGCACUACGGUGCUGAAGCAACAAAUGCCCUGCUUCCAGGAAAAGCCUCUAAGCAUCAGGUAACAUCAAAUCGUACCCCAAACCGACACAGGUGGUCAGGUAGAGAAUACCAAGGCGCUUGAGAGAACUCGGGUGAAGGAACUAGGCAAAAUGGUGCCGUAACUUCGGGAGAAGGCACGCUGACACGUAGGUGAAGUGAUUUACUCAUGGAGCUGAAGUCAGUCGAAGAUACCAGCUGGCUGCAACU
rnacentral:rRNA from 1 species